rnacentral:rRNA from 1 species
CCUACGGGUGGCAGCAGUGGGGAAUAUUGCGCAAUGGGCGAAAGCCUGACGCAGCGACGCCGCGUGAGGGAUGAAGGUCUUCGGAUCGUAAACCUCUGUCAGCAGGGAAGAACGGUCACUGUGCUAAUCAGCAGUGAAUUGACGGUACCUGCAAAGGAAGCACCGGCUAACUCCGUGCCAGCAGCCGCGGUAAUACGGAGGGUGCGAGCGUUAAUCGGAAUUACUGGGCGUAAAGCGCACGUAGGCGGUAUGUCAAGUCAAGGGUGAAAUCCCCGGGCUCAACGUGGGAACUGCCUUUGAAACUGGCAGACUGGAGUGUGUGAGAGGAUAGUGGAACUCCAGGUGUAGGAGUGAAAUCCGUAGAUAUCUGGAGGAACAUCAGUGGCGAAGGCGACUAUCUGGCACAUAACUGACGCUGAGGAGCGAAAGCGUGGGUAGCAAACAGGAUUAGAUACCCGAGUAGUC